UACGUAGGGUGCAAGCGUUGUCCGGAAUUAUUGGGCGUAAAGAGCUCGUAGGCGGUUUGUUGCGUCGGCUGUGAAAUCCCGAGGCUCAACCUCGGGUCUGCAGUCGAUACGAGCAAACUAGAGUGUUGCAGGGGAGACUGGAAUUCCUGGUGUAGCGGUGAAAUGCGCAGAUAUCAGGAGGAACACCGAUGGCGAAGGCAACUCUCUGGGACGGUACUGACGCUGAGACGCGAAAGCGUGGGGAGCGAACAGG
rnacentral:rRNA from 1 species